ACAGCUGUUAAAAAAAAUGUUUUCCCCGACUGUACGGACAAAGGAGGAAACGGAGUAAACAGAGAGCUUCGCCGGAAUCAUAAGGGGGAAAAAUGGGGGUGAUUUUGAGCGCGUUUGAUGUAUGAGUAAGUGAUUUGAAUUUUAGACCUCAAUUUUUUAUUAUUGAUUCAACAUGUUUUGUAAGUGGUUCAGAUUAAUUUGUUAAGUUGUGGUAAAAUUUGGAUUAUACAUGAGAAAAAUCCAAUCUCCCUAGUGUUUGUUUUAGGCUCGUUUGUGCUUCACAUUAUGCGAUUAUCUCCUUAAUUAGGAGUUUGUGGAAAAGGAAUAGUGGAGAUGGAUUCAGAAAGUAAUUUAGUAAGUAAACGAGCUGAUUGGAUUCCAACCAAUGGAGAAAAAAAAACUGAAUAUGAUGAAAAUUGGAGAUAGAAAUAGUAGGUUUUUUUUUUUUUUUUAAAAUUUGGGACUAAGAUAAGAGUGGCAAUUGAACUCCAAUUAUAGAUUAGGAUAGAUUAUUGAAUAAUGAUUGCUAAAAAUGCUGUGAAAUAAAUCCAAGUGUAAAUGAGAUGAUUUGAUAUGCUAAGCACUAAAAUUAUUAAUUACAUUUAUAUCUGGACAGCUUUGCUAGAAUGCCUUGGGCUUUUGCUUGGUGAAAAAAGUGUAGAGAAGGGUAAGAACAGAAAAAGUGUUUAAUCCGAUGAAAGAAGUUAUGGGAUCUAACCAUUAGAUUCAAAGUUUUUGCAUCCAUACUCAGUUUCUAUCCUUCCUACCAAGCAAAGCUUUGAAGGUUGCAAUUGAGUCGUGUUAUUACUUACCAAGUGUUUAGAAUUCAGGAGGCAACACAAAUACCAAAAAAGAGCAGAAUCAUUCUUACCUUUCUACUAUUGUGCUUGGAAUGGAAGAACAAACCUAUUCGAGUACUUUAUAUAAAAUAUUUGUUCGUUGAAUGGCUCCUGUGUGGCUGCUGACUCCAAUAUUGAUGCAAAAACCUGGAUAAUUUAUUGCUUUGAGAUAAAGAUUUCUGCUACUCAAGUUGAGGGAGGUGGGGACACAAACACUUUGCUAGUUUAUUCUUAAUAGUAUUAUGUUCUCCUAACCAUAUGCAUAAAUACCCGAUAACAUAUUUGAUUAAAGCUAAAAGCAUUUGUAGCGUUUUGCCUUUUAAAAAAUCUAAUGUAUGAGCACAAACUCUGUUGCUUUUCCUUCAUACAGACUUCUUAAUUGAAUCAAUGAAUCUUUUGUCUGCAAUGUCGUUGCUUGAGAUGUAAUCAAGAAAAUCUCUGAAACUGAACUCGUUGUAGGAGACAGGAUGUUGCUCAUCCACAAGCUCUGGUGCUGGUCCUAUUUUCUUGUUUAUAGGUAGACUGUGAAGACUUGCUAUGGACAGCCGCUUGUUCUCCGCGCUAAGAGUCACUUGAUGAACAACACUCUUGUACUGUCCAUUGCUCAUCACUUCUAUUUGAUCUCCCAAUUGGACUAGUAAGGCGCCUUCAACAAAUGGAACAGAGAGCCAUUUCUUCUUGUUGUCC
rnacentral:lncRNA from 1 species